rnacentral:rRNA from 1 species
AGCGAACGCUGGCGGCAGGCUUAACACAUGCAAGUCGAGCGGGCACUUCGGUGUCAGCGGCAGACGGGUGAGUAACACGUGGGAACGUACCCUUCGGUUCGGAAUAACGCUGGGAAACUAGCGCUAAUACCGGAUACGCCCUUUUGGGGAAAGGUUUACUGCCGAAGGAUCGGCCCGCGUCUGAUUAGCUAGUUGGUGGGGUAAUGGCCUACCAAGGCGACGAUCAGUAGCUGGUCUGAGAGGAUGAGCAGCCACACUGGGACUGAGACACGGCCCAGACUCCUACGGGAGGCAGCAGUGGGGAAUAUUGGACAAUGGGCGCAAGCCUGAUCCAGCCAUGCCGCGUGAGUGAUGAAGGCCUUAGGGUUGUAAAGCUCUUUUGUCCGGGACGAUAAUGACGGUACCGGAAGAAUAAGCCCCGGCUAACUUCGUG